UUAUGCCCACAAGAUUAACAUUAGCAAAACAGUAUGAAUCUUGCACAGCUUCUUCCUAAAUGCAACACAGCAGCCACCCUCCCAUGAGGCAGAGAAAUUCAGGUGUGUCCUCUGCUGGUCGACGCUCCCAUUGCCUGGGCAUCGAUGGGCAGUGCUGAUUUGCUGAUGGCCAGGGAGAGAAGAGGGACCAGCUGCCCUGACUGGUGCUCAUCUUCCUUGGACCAAGUCUACACUCACUGCCAAGGGAGUUACAAGCACUUCUUUCCUGAAGGACUCAGAUAGGAGGCCCAAAGCUGUAGGAGGGAAUGCUUGUGUGUUUGUGAAUUGGGGGAGGGUAUUAUUGGGGCAAGAUAGUGGGCUCGUGGUAACAAGAAGUUAAACCGGAACUUCACACUGAGGCACUGGAUAUAAUAGGCUUGCUCACAGGCGAAGCAGCAGUCUGAGGAAGCAUGAGUGGGUUAAGUUGCCUAAGUUGCCGAGAGGGAGAUUGGUGAAGGGGCUCAGGGACCCCCUUCCGCCCCCACCAGGAGAGCAGAAGUGGCUGCUUGGACCUUUCAUUUGGUGCAACUUUGAGGCAGGACUCACACCCUGGAUCUGUCAUUCCUGAAUGAAGCCUGCACCAGCGCCCUCAGACCAGGCUUCAUUAGAUCCAACUUAUUCCUAUGAACUGGCCUCUGAUCUUAAGCUCCUCUUCCAGAGAAAGGACAUAGAUAAGUAAAAUGUGCCCUUGCAAUGCUCUCGAUGUAUCAGGAAUUUCUUCAUUCUUAGAGGAAUCUCUAUGCUCUUUUACAUUCUGUAAAAACUCUUAACUGGUGCUAAAUCACCAUGUAGUAUAUACAAUGAACUUGGUCUCUCUCUACUGGUUAGUCCCUUUUAUUACCAUGGCCAGUGGUCUCCGGGAAGACAAUACAAUAGUCAGUUUUCCCCACAUCACAGUGAAGGGAAAUAGCCUGUUCCAAUGCUGGAUAUGCUAUAGGCACCCAUGAACUUGGUCUGCCCAAGUGACAGAACUUGUGGCAAUCUUCACAUUUCACUUUCACCCACAGAACUGGAGCAAGCUCCCC
rnacentral:lncRNA from 1 species